rnacentral:rRNA from 1 species
ACGAACGCUGGCGGCGUGCUUAACACAUGCAAGUCGAGCGGAAAGGCCCUUCGGGGUACUCGAGCGGCGAACGGGUGAGUAACACGUGAGUAACCUACCUCGAACUCUGGGAUAAGCCUGGGAAACUGGGUCUAAUACCGGAUGUUCAUCUCCUGCUGCAUGGUGGGGGAUGGAAAGUGUUUAGCGGUUCGGGAUGGGCUCGCGGCCUAUCAGCUUGUUGGUGAGGUAAUGGCUUACCAAGGCUUUUACGGGUAGCCGGCCUGAGAGGGCGACCGGCCACACUGGGACUGAGAUACGGCCCAGACUCCUACGGGAGGCAGCAGUGGGGAAUAUUGCGCAAUGGGCGGAAGCCUGACGCAGCAACGCCGUGUGAGGGAUGACGGCCUUCGGGUUGUAAACCUCUUUCACCAGGGACGAAGCUUUUGUGACGGUACCUGGGGAAGAAGCGCCGGCCAACUACGUGCCAGCAGCCGCGGUAACACGUAGGGCGCGAGCGUUGUCCGGAAUUAUUGGGCGUAAAGGGCUCGUAGGCGGUUUGUCGCGUCGAAAGUGAAAAUCUGGGGCUCAACUCCGGACUUGCUUUCGAUACGGGCAGGCUAGAGGUAGGCAGGGGAGAAUGGAAUUCCUGGUGUAGCGGUGGAAUGCGCAGAUAUCAGGAGGAACACCGGUGGCGAAGGCGGUUCUCUGGGCCUUACCUGACGCUGAGGAGCGAAAGCGUGGGGAGCGAACAGGAUUAGAUACCCUGGUAGUCCACGCUGUAAACGUUGGGCGCUAGGUGUGGGAGUCUUUUGUGACGUCCGUGCCGUAGCUAACGCAUUAAGCGCCCCGCCUGGGGAGUACGGUCGCAAGACUAAAACUCAAAGGAAUUGACGGGGGCCCGCACAAGCGGCGGAGCAUGUUGCUUAAUUCGAGGCAACGCGAAGAACCUUACCUGGGUUUGACAUGUGGGUUAAUCCGGCAGAGAUGUCGGGUCCUUUUGGGAACUCAUGCAGGUGGUGCAUGGCUGUCGUCAGCUCGUGUCGUGAGAUGUUGGGUUAAGUCCCGCAACGAGCGCAACCCUCGUCCUAUGUUGCCAGCACGUUAUGGUGGGGACUCAUAGGAGACUGCCGGGGUCAACUCGGAGGAAGGUGGGGAUGAUGUCAAGUCUUCAUGCCCCUUAUGUCCAGGGCUGCAAACAUGCUACAAUGGUCGGUACAAUGGGCUGCGAGACCGUGAGGUGGAGCGAAUCCCUAAAAGCCGGCCUCAGUUCGGAUCGGGGUCUGCAACUCGACCCCGUGAAGUUGGAGUCGCUAGUAAUCGCGGAUCAGCAACGCCGCGGUGAAUACGUUCCCGGGCCUUGUACUCACC